rnacentral:rRNA from 1 species
UACGUAGGGGGCUAGCGUUGUCCGGAAUCAUUGGGCGUAAAGAGCGUGUAGGCGGCCCGGUAAGUCCGCUGUGAAAGUCAAGGGCUCAACCCUUGAAUGCCGGUGGAUACUGUCGGGCUAGAGUCCGGAAGAGGCGAGUGGAAUUCCUGGUGUAGCGGUGAAAUGCGCAGAUAUCAGGAGGAACACCAAUGGCGAAGGCAGCUCGCUGGGACGGUACUGACGCUGAGACGCGAAAGCGUGGGGAGCGAACAGG